UGAAUAGUUUGAAAACCGGGUGAAAUGGGAGCAAUUUCAUUUCUUAAAAGGGAAUCCUUACUUUUGGAGCGGUCCCGCCACUGUGAAGACGCUAUUGCGUCCAGCCAGAUACCUGCCCGUUUUCAUGACGCUUC
rnacentral:ncRNA from 2 species